AAAAAGAUAACAGAAAGAUCUCAGAAUCUGAGCUAAUAAAAACAGACAACCGCUCAGGCGCCUAAGUAAACCGCUCAACGGUUUCCCCUUUAGCCGUUGGACCGUUGAGCGGUUUUCCCCUAAUCGUCCUGGACGCUCAGCGGUCCAUUAUGACGCUCAGCGAUCACUUUGACUCUUCUUUUCAUCCUUUUUCUUCAUCUUUCACGAGUCUAAGUCGACCUUGAUUUACUUCCUUCUUCCAUUCUCAUCAAAACCCUGC
rnacentral:lncRNA from 1 species